rnacentral:rRNA from 1 species
AACAACAAGGUCAAAUGACUUAAGGCGUAGGGUGGAUACCUAGGCACCUAGAGACGAUGAAGGGCGUGGAACCGACGAAACGCUUCGGGGAGCUGGAAACAAGCAAUGAUCCGGAGAUUCCCGAAUAGGGCAACCUCUUGUACUUCUAACUGAAUUCAUAAGUUAGAAAGAGGCAACUCAGUGAACUGAAACAUCUUAGUAGCUGAAGGAAAAGAAAGCAAAAGCGAUUCCCUGAGUAGUGGCGAGCGAAAUGGGAACAGCCUAAACCAAGUUUUAAACUUGGGGUCGUGGGAAAACAUCUGCGUCAAAAUUUGCAUUUUGACGAUAAAACUAUUCAUAAAAAAUUUAGACGAAGCAGCUGAAACCUGCACCAUAGAUGGUGAAAGUCCAGUAGUUAAAAAAUUAAAAUGAGUAGCUGUUUAUCCCGAGUAGCAUGGGACACGUGAAAUCCCGUGUGAAUCAGCGAGGACCACCUCGUAAGGCUAAAUACUCCUAGGUGACCGAUAGCGAAAUAGUACCGUGAGGGAAAGGUGAAAAGAACCCCUGUAGGGGAGUGAAAUAGAACAUGAAACCCUAUGCUGACAAUCAGUGGGAGACACUUGAGUGUUGACCGCGUGCCUGUUGAAGAAUGAGCCGGCGACUUAGAAAACGUGGCAAGGUUAAGGACAUGUAUCCGGAGCCGAAGCAAAAGCAAGUCUGAAUAGGGCGAUGAAGUCAUUUUUUCUAGACCCGAACCCGGGUGAUCUAACCAUGACCAGGAUGAAACUUGGGUGACACCAAGUGAAGGUCCGAACCGACCGAUGUUGAAAAAUCGGCGGAUGAGUUGUGGUUAGCGGUGAAAUACCAGUCGAACUCGGAGCUAGCUGGUUCUCCCCGAAAUGCGUUGAGGCGCAGCGGUUCAUAAGGCUGUCUAGGGGUAAAGCACUGUUUCGGUGCGGGCUGCGAAAGCGGUACCAAAUCGUGGCAAACUCUGAAUACUAGAUAUGCUAUUUAUGGGCCAGUGAGACAGUGGGGGAUAAGCUUCAUUGUCGAGAGGGAAACAGCCCAGAUCACUAGCUAAGGCCCCAAAAUGAUCGUUAAGUGACAAAGGAGGUGAGAAUGCUGAAACAACCAGGAGGUUUGCUUAGAAGCAGCCACCCUUUAAAGAGUGCGUAAUAGCUCACUGGUGGAGCGUUCUUGCGCCGAAAAUGUCCGGGACUAAAUGAUCUGCCGAAGCUGUGGGAUAUUUUUGAAAAAUAUCGGUAGGGGAGCGUUCUGCUGUAGGGUGAAGCGCUCAUGUAAAGGAGCGUGGACGAAGCGGAAGUGAGAAUGUCGGCUUGAGUAACGCAAACAUUGGUGAGAAUCCAAUGCCCCGAAAACCUAAGGAUUCCUCCACUAGGUUCGUCCAUGGAGGGUGAGUCAGGACCUAAGGCGAGGCCGAAAGGCGUAGUCGAUGGCAAACAGGUUAAUAUUCCUGUACUGUUUUAUGUUUGGUACCAAGGGACGGAGCAGGCAGAGAUUGGCCGAGAUUGGAUUUCGGUGGAAACUUUCGACAUGAUGAGAGGUAGAAUAAAAACUAACCUUGAGUAGAGAAGUGAUACGACAUUUCUUUCUGAGAAAUGCCCAGUUGACUGUCAUACUUCCAAGAAAAGCUUGAACUACUGUAUAACAUAAAAUACCUGUACCGUAAACCGACACAGGUGGGUUAGUAGAGUAUACUAAGGGGCGCGAGAUAACUCUCUCUAAGGAACUCGGCAAAAUGACCCCGUAACUUCGGGAGAAGGGGUGCCAAGUAACUUCAAAUUGCUUGGUCGCAGUGACCAGGCCCUGGCGACUGUUUAUCAAAAACACAGGUCUCCGCAAAGUCGUAAGACAACAUAUGGGGGCUGACGCCUGCCCAGUGCCGGAAGGUUAAAGAAGUUGGUUAUUCAUUCGUGGAGAAGCUGACGACUGAAGCCCCGGUGAACGGCGGCCGUAACUAUAACGGUCCUAAGGUAGCGAAAUUCCUUGUCGGGUAAGUUCCGACCCGCACGAAAGGCGUAACGAUCAGGGCACUGUCUCGGAGAGAGACUCGGUGAAAUAGACAUGUCUGUGAAGAUGCGGACUACCUGCACCUGGACAGAAAGACCCUAUGAAGCUUAACUGUAGCUUGGAAUUGGGUUCGGGCUCUUCUUGCGCAGCCUAGGUGGGAGGCGUUGAAGGUUUUCUCUUGGGAAAACUGGAGCCAACAGUGAGAGACCACUCUGGAGGAGCUAGAAUUCUAAUGGCGUUCCGUGAAGCCGGACGCUUGACAGUUUCAGGUGGGCAGUUUGACUGGGGCGGUCACCUCCUAAAAGGUAACGGAGGUGUGCAAAGGUUCCCUCAGGCUGGACGGAAAUCAGCCGGAGAGUGUAAAGGCAGAAGGGAGCUUGACUGCAAGACCUACAAGUCGAGCAGGGGCGAAAGCCGGCCUUAGUGAUCCGACGGUUCCAUGUGGAAGGGCCGUCGCUCAACGGAUAAAAGUUACUCUAGGGAUAACAGGCUGAUCUUCCCCAAGAGUUCACAUCGACGGGAAGGUUUGGCACCUCGAUGUCGGCUCAUCGCAACCUGGGGCGGUAGUACGUCCCAAGGGUUGGGCUGUUCGCCCAUGAAAGCGGUACGUGAGCUGGGUUCAGAACGUCGUAGACACUUGCGACCUAGGCUUGUGAAGGCCUAGUAAAAUCCUUCUCAUAUCGGAGAAACCCUACCAGGACACUGAAGGGCAACCCCGAGGGAAGUUGUAAAACCUCUUUCUUUCUCUUUUCUUUCCAGAAAAGAUGGGUUCAUCCGUGAACCAAGGUUUUAUUAACCCCGUAACGACUGAAUAGGAAACUAUUCGAUGGCUCUUGACAACACAGAGGCAUAACACGAAGGCUCUUGCGAGAAAAGACGCAAGAUGAUGGUAUAGUCUAUCCCACUAGUAAUAGUGGAGUUCCUUGAGUGAUCAAGGUGUUCUAAGUUGCUCAUCACACGAUGAGGAAUAUGAAUAGAUUGGAGACAGUUCGGUCCAUAUCCGGUGUAGGCGCUAGAGCAUUGAGAGGAGUCUUCCAUAGUACGAGAGGACCUGGAAGAACACACCUCUGGUAUACCAGUUAUCGUGCCAACGGUACACGCUGGGUAGCCAUGUGUGGAGUGGAUAACCGCUGAAAGCAUCUAAGUGGGAAGCCCACCUCAAGAUGAGUGCUCUCUAUGAGGUCACAGGAAGACAACCUGUUUGAUAGGCAGAAGGUGUAAGGCCAGUAAUGGUUUCAGCUGAUCUGUACUAAUAGACCCAUUGAUUUUGACCA